UCCGGUGUCGUGCACGAGGCCCACCGCUACCUCGCGGGGAGCUCCACGCGUUCCUCUCGGACACGCUGCUCCUCAGUGGUGACCCGUUCGAGCCGCCGAUCGAACUGCCGCGCUGGGG
rnacentral:tRNA from 1 species